GGGAAUGGCAACCCACUCCAGUAUUCUUGGUUGGAGAAUUCCAUGGACAGAGGUGCCUGGUGGGCUAUAGUCCAUGGGGUCGCAAAGAGUCGGAUGUGACUGAGUGACUUAACAACAACAACCCUUUAAGAUAGAAGGCCGUUAAUGAUGAUUACAGGAGUAUUUUGUGCACUAUUUAAUCCAGAGGGCCUUUCAUUCUCCAUCAGUAUUUCAGAAAAUAAGGAGUUGGUAAAAAAUUAUCCCCCUCUUUUAGGAAUGUUGGCUGCUGGUCACUGAUUCAGAGAGUGUCUUCUCCCCCUCCGUCCACGUUGUGGUUUUUUAAAAAGGAUAUUCAGAGAAAAGGACUCUAUGAUUCCCCUAUAGCUCUCCCUGACUGUUCAGGGGUUCUCUCAGUCAGGAUGUUUUUUCUUGUGUCUAAGCUAAAUCCUGUCUGUACUGUUUGAUCCAUUUUAUUUCCUCCUGUCCCGCCCUCGGUAGAAACAGAAAACAGCUGGUGACUGUUCUCGCACAGCACAAAGGAUUCUGGCUUCUAAGGAUCUUUGAUGAAAAGGUAUCCUGCAUUGAAGCUGGAGGUCAGGGGUCAGAUGCUGUGUGCUGAUAGCAGAAUCUCUCCCAUUUUGGAGAAGGGAAUGGCAAUCCACUUCAGUAUUCUUGCCUGGAGAAUCCCCAUGGACAGAGGAGCCUGGCGGACUACAGUCCACGGGGUUACAAAAGAGUUGGACACGACUGAGCAACUAACACUUUCACUUUCUGGUCCACCUUCUUCCCUCUUGGCAGUGUGAAAGAUUAUGCUUUUGAUGUCAUAAGAAGUCUUUCAUGCAAAG